rnacentral:antisense_RNA from 1 species
CUUCACGGAACCGAGCCACAGCGGGCGGUCCGCCGGGCGCCCGGGCCCGUGCACGGCCUGCAGGGCCUGCGCCUC